AAAGUGUAGCAAUACAUGAGUAAAGCGGCGAACUGGUGAGUAACAGGUGGGUAACGUGCCCUGAAGUGGGGGAUAACACCGGGAAACCGGUGCUAAUACCGCAUGUGGUGUCAAAGACCUUGGUUUUUGCCAUUAAAGCAGUAAUGCGCUUCAGGAUCGGCCCGUCCCCGAUUAGCUUGUUGGUGAGGUAAUGGCUCACCAAGGCACCGAUCGGUAGCUGGUCUGAGAGGAUGGUCAGCCACACUGGAACUGAGAUACGGUCCAGACUCCUACGGGGGGCAGCAGUCUAGAGGCUUCGUCAAUGGGGGCAACCCUGAACGAGCGACGCCGCGUGUGGGAUUGAAGGCCUUCGGGUCGUAAACCACUGUCGAGUGGGAAGAAUGCCCCUAUGGCGAAUAGGGGAGCGACGGUACCACUAUAGGAAGCCCCGGCUAACUCCGUGCCAGCAGCCGCGGUAAUACGGAGGGGGCAAGCGUUGUUCGGAUUUACUGGGCGUAAAGGGUGUGUAGGCGGCUGGAUAAGUCUGGCGUGAAAUCUUCACCGCUUAACGGGAAGGGGUCGCUGGAAACUGUUCAGCUUGAGUAUGGUAGAGGCAAGCGGAAUUCCUGGUGUAGCGGUGGAAUGUGUAGAUAUCAGGAAGAACACCGGUGGCGAAGGCGGCUUGCUGGGCCAUCACUGACGCUGAGACACGAAAGCGUGGGGAGCAAACGGGAUUAGAUACCCCGGUAGUCCACGCUGUAAACGGUGCGCACUAGGUGUGGGGGGUAUCGACUCCUCCCGUGCCGACGUUAACACAUUAAGUGCGCCGCCUGGGGAGUAC
rnacentral:rRNA from 1 species